CAAUAAUUUAUAGGUUAAAUAGAUAUUACAAAUCAGUUCUGUAACGUUAAGAUGAUCGUUGAUCGUUUCAUUCUUUCAAGCCGAGUCAUUGAAUAUUUCUUCCAAUAUAUUUAUAUAUUUCUUCAAAUAUCAAGUUAAUUUGAGGAAAAUGAGGUAUAAUAUAUCGCAAAUCAUUGUAACUGUAGCAAUUGAAACGUUAAUUCAAGACAAUAAAUACAAAUAUGACAAGAUCGCGUAGCAUAAAUCGAUUAAAAGUUUUGCUGAAUCGAGUAAUUGCGAUACGAUAAAUCGAUUUUGCGAUAUUGUUGCGCAUUGAAUAGUUGCGCAUCUGGUAAUUAUACAACUAUUCGCCAUAUUACAUCUCGCGAGAGAUUGAUCGAUCGAUUGUACGCGAUUAAUUUCGAAACUCUGGCAAACGUGAAACGUAUGUACGGGGAACAGUGGGAAGAAUAGAAAGUACAAGUGAAUUAUUUCUCUCGUGUAAUAUCGUCGCGGCUCCACAGAUGCGGACGAUAAUAUCGAAUCAGCGUGCAACUCGCUUCCUACAACAGUUGCAAACGGAUCACGAUUUAUCGAAGCGAACGUACUGGCGACAUUACGUCAUACCGACAAAGAAGAAAUUAAAUUAAUCGAAUAAAUUACUUCGCAUCGUAAAUACCUUAUGAUUGCGUAUACUAUUCAUUAAUUAUAUUUUGGUGGGUCCAAAGAGUUCGUUUCGGCAAAUAAAUUGACACAAAUGGCUUCAAUAGGUUUCUAUUGUUUUCGGCGAAUGAAAGGUUAGGACGAAAAGGCAGAUUCGCGACGUUCUGGGCUCGAGGGCAGCAUGGAUGAAUGCGAAGAAACCCCCAUUAAGUUGUUACGCCGACUUAUCCUCCUGCACGUCGAUUAAUCGCCGUCUCAGUUCGGUGCAACGACAUUUCGCCUUCCUCAUAGGGAGGCGUCUUUCGCCGCUCUUCUCGUUUUUUCCGCACGAAAUUCCGCCUCAAGCUUGUAGACGAGAAGCGCCACUCGAAAAGGACGUUCGAUACGAGGAAGAGGUUAGGUCCUCGCCCGCGGACCCCUCUCGACCGUUCUCGUGAUAGCUGUGAGGGCCGUUUAUUAAGGAAAGGUUUACUCGUUGAGCCGUCUCUGGGCCGAUUUCUGCAGGUUUUUGACCGCUCUAGGAAUUCAUCCUCCGCGCGGAUGAACGUUACACUUCAUGGUUUCAUGGCCCGUUCCACGCCUUCCAAAAUUUUGUCCCUCGAGGAAAGGGUUCAUUUCGAAAGAAUUUUUCUCCUGUGUCUCGAACUUCUUUGAAAAUGAAGGUGCUAAAGAUGGUACAAAAAGCUUGUAAUAUUUUUAUUCUAUAAUGAAGAAUGGAUUAAACAGAAUCGAAUGAUGUUUGCUUGUCUUGAAAAACUUAUUGAUAUUUCUUCUAUCAAUGCGGCACGAUCACGUAACAUACACGAAAUACAAUACGACUUGUGAAUACGAUUCCAAACUGUGACAACAGUAGAGCUCGGUGUUCCCGUCUCAACAAUGGAGGCCCGUCGUCACUUUUGAGAGACAUCCGGCAGCCUUUGGUCGGCUCUUUUUUCUUUUCGGAAUCGGCUCACCGCUGCGAGAAUCCUCUUCUACGAAUCGCGUUUGGCCGAUCCAAAAGAGACUGUACAGGUCGUGCAGCUCGUGCUCCUUUUAUUUUACGGCGCUGUGUGCAAAUUGGCCAGAGGAUUAGAAUCGCGAGCAUAGGCUGCGUGCUGCGUGCCCCGGAGCGAUGAAUUAUUAUUGUCUCGUGCCACACGCAGCCACGCUUCGCGUUUUAUGCACCCGUGUAUACGAGCAUCCUCGAAAUCGAAAUAGGCAGAGAGAAACGACUGCGUAUCUCCCUCUUUGACGAGAAGUUUCUCCUAUUCGUGGAUUCAAAGUCGUCAAACCAAAUAGCUAAGAAUUAAUUUCUCUUCCUUAGAUAAAAGUUUCUUUUUAAAAUGAUGCAAAUGAUUCAACUUCGUCAUGGACUUUCUCUUUGAAUGAAACCAAAUACCAACGAAGAACAAUUUUGAUAAAAUUCACUGUUAAAAUAAUGAUUCAACUUCAUUUUUCUUUCUCUUCACGUUUCAGAGCAGAGAGGUUAGCAAAAUUUGAGGUUAAAGUGUUCAAGAAUGAUUACAUUUUAUCAAUUCAAUGCAUCGAAUACACAGAUCCAGGUCUCGACAGUUAAAUUAUCCUGCUAUUCUAGAAACCUUGUCUGCCUUCAUUGUCCUUUCAACCAGGCUGCAUAACAACGUACGUUUCAAAGUUCUCGAUAUCUUGAUCUUCGCUUCCAACGUUCGCCUCCCACAUCACAGAACACGUGCAUAUUCAGCUUACACACCGAAUUACCUUCAUGGAGCAAGAUUGCCUGGUGGAAAGCGAGACGUGACAAUGGAAAGGAACGUCGUUAGAAAUACUUUUGGAACCAGCAGAGAGAGAGAGAGAGAAAAAGAGAGAAUUUUUGCAUCGUUCCUCGAGGAGGAAUGUCGGUUUCGAGGUUCCAUGAAGACAUAUCAACCUUUCCACGAUACACACGCACCCACAUUCAUUGUAUGGCAAACCCGAUAUCUCAUCGUAGGUGGAGGAGGCACGCCACGAGUUAUUGACUCGUUUGAUCCUGGGUUACGCCCCGACCUACCUUAACUCUGACUUACUAUCUUGCCACGAGAGGCAAGAUCGGCCCACGACGCGACGCCGCCGAUUUCCGCUCCUCGAGGAACAUCGUUCACCUCGUUUCUUUCUGUUUCUCUCUGAAUAAUGAAUAGGGGGUAAUGAAAAUCCUUUUGGAGGAGGAGAAAUAAGACAGAAGUUGUUUCUGUCUGUUCCUGUUGUUUCAUUGAAGAGAAUUCGAGAAUUUGCCUUAUUUUUAUAUUAUUGAGGAAUUUCAGGGUUUAUUUAUAAACCCAAAUUGUAUGAUGGAGUUAAAAUUUUUUGGAAUACAGAAAUGAAAUGUAAAGAUCUUUGAGCAAUGAUUUUUAUCCAAGUAAGUUUUUCACCAAUCUACAACAAUAUACCAAUAUAAUAAUAUAUUAUAUAAUUAAUAACAUAUUAAUAAUGUUUUUUUAAUAAUGUGACAUGUUUGAAAUCAAUUUUCCUGAUGAAGAGGUACUGUAAGUAAAAUUUGCAAAUAUAUAUCAUGUCAACAUUAACAUUAACUUGUUUUAUAAGAUUCCCUUUUGGGUAAAUUCCACUUUGAAUUGAAUAUCAAAUAUUUUUUCUUUGUUGAAUCCGUGUUUGCAGAGAGUAAGUUGAAUGCCAGUAAAAAAAAAAGAAUUAAUAAUCUCAAUUAUCAUUGGGAUGCAUGAUAAAAAUAUCUUUACACAUAUCUCGAUUAUCUUUAACUUCAUCGUUCACUUUUGUAUUUUAUUUCUCGUUAAAAAUUGUUUUUUCAUUGAAUUCUAUAUUUUUCAGGGUCCAAAUUAGAUGAUUCAUCCAAGAGAAUCUCUCAAUUGAAGGAAAAGCACAAUACGAAUAAUCGUGCCAAUUUUAAGAAGAUCUAAGAAGAUAUUAUAUUGAGAUAUAAUCUCAAUUAUCAUUGGGAUACAUGAUAAAAAUAUCUUUACACAUAUCUCGAUUAUCUUUAACCUUAUCGUUCACUUUUGUAUUUUAUUUGUUAAAAAUUGUUUUUUCAUUAAAUUCCAUAUUUUUCAGGGUCCAAAUUAGAUGAUUCAUUCAAGAAAAUCUCUCAAUUGAAGGAAAAGCACAGUACGAAUAAUCGUGUUAAUUUGAAGAACUAAGAAGAUCUAAGAAGAUAUUUCUUCUUCUCCCUUCGUUGGAAGUUCCACGUGUCGAAUCGCCGAUCUCCAGAAACUGCACACGUUGCAAUCGUACUCCAACGCCAAGAAUCGAUCGAUCGAAUCGGAUUCGCUCAUAGAAUUGGAAUUUCACAUUUUUAUCACCCAACUCGUAUUACGUUCAACAAGUUGACCAACGAUCGAUAUCCGAUAGCGUCAAUUUCCUUUCAUCGAUCUCUGUAAACGAAAUGCGACACAGGCAAAAUUUAAUAUUUGAAAUUACGAAUAAAGUUCAACAAUAAUACAAUCAUAGCUAUGAACAAAUAGUUAUUACAUAUAAAGCUUAUUUUAAUAAGUAAUUAACUCGAGGUAACUUUAUUCGAAAUUUUUAAUUUUUAAUUGGUUAAUUUUUUCAACUACAAUGUUAAACAAUUCUGGCGAAAAAUCGUGGAGCGUGGAGAGACUUGCCUCUAGGUGGAGGUGGCACACCUGCCCUCGAAUAUGGAGAGAGGAGAGGAGAUUCGCGCACGUAUGUUGGAAGAUGCGCCGACAGACACGCCCUGGUUAAAUGCUGGUGAUGAAUGCGCGAAAAAAGGAGGGGGGAAGGAAUCGAAAGAUCGGUGGCAAAUCGACGCUUGUCCCCUUUUCCAUCUCGAAUCCGCCCCCGGGAAUGCAAAUGAUGUAUCCGUCUCUAGGAGGGUAGCCAAGCCUCCCCCGUGACUUAUCAUGCUUAAUUACACGGUCUACCGUUGAAUUAUCGCCGUUUUACGAUAUUAAAGAGGGGGCAAUUAGCCGUUUUUUCGUUUCCUUCCUCCGGGGUCUAGAUCCCUGCUUUCAUCCAAUCAAGAAUAUGUCUGUGUUCGCGACGCCUGUGUAUAAUAUAUGUAACGCGGAAUAUAAAGCAGCAGGGCGUACCCUUUUUGAAAAUAACACGUUCCCUCGUGAGAUAGAGAUAGGCUAGGUUUCUACGUGAAAUUGUUUAUCGGGUAAUCUGGUGCGCCACCCUACAGGUAUCGAAGAGUGUAGGUUCCUCGCGAGAGAAAUAUCGGUAUAGAUAUCACCUAUUACCACAAUUAUACCUCGUAUUUCAUUUACCAUGAUUCUUUCGAUAUCUAAAAAAAGAAAAAGGGAGACACGCAUAUGUAUUCCUUUUUCAACGAUGGAGAGAAUGGAUUAAUCGUUCCGUUGAAAUUUCCAUUGAUAGAAAUGGCGAAUAACGCACGCUUGUUCACUUAAAAAAAUCGGCCGUAUCAUUUUUCUCGUUGCGCGUUGUCGGCUCAUUUUUUCGAGCGGUGGCGCUCGAAGCCGAAAAGGGGUGGAAGAUACAUAGCGCGAUGCCCUGAGCGGACGCCGACCCAUUUCUCUUUCGCGCCUCUUUCUCUCUCGUUAACGCGACCCUAUCGCCGUUUCAUCCACGGUGCGAGUUUAAACGCCCCCGGUCCCGUCAACCUGAUUUCACUAACGAACCCGCCAAUUUAUAUUAUCGAUCGGAUCGUGUGUCCGCAGUAGGCCAACUUGACCGAGGAUUCAUCGUUAAACCGGUACCCGGCAGCCACGCUGCACCCUUAUCGUUUGCAUCCGCCAUCGCAUUGCCAGUGGCCGUUUUUUGUUUUCGAACCGUUCUCUCCAACUUUCCAUCUCUUCGAAUCUCUUCUAUCGAACGAUAACCGGUCCUUCCACCUACUCUCUCUCUCUCUCUCUCUCUCUGUAUAUAUAUAUAUGAUCAUUCACGAAUCGAGGAUGUUUCGAAAGAAUGGAAAUAAAGCUGGAUCGAAAGGA
rnacentral:lncRNA from 1 species